ACCCGCUGAAUUUAAGCAUAUAAGUAGGCGGUGGAAAAUGAACCAAAUGGGAUUCCUUAAGUAAUUGCGAAUGAACAAGGAAAUGCUCAGCUUGAAAAAUGGGGCCUUCGGCUUUGAAUUGUAAUUUUGAAAUGUAUUGCCAAUGGAGGCGCAGGUGCAAGCCUAUUGAAAGAAAGCGUCAAUGAGGGUGAGAUUCCUUUUUGUCAUUUGCAGUCCUCCGUGCACGGUAUAUAUUUGACGAGUCACACUCCUCGGCAUUGGAAUGCAAAGUGGGUGGUAAAUUCCAUGUAAAGGUAAAUAUAUUAUUGAGACUGAUAGCAAACAAGUACCAUGAGGGAAAUAUGAAAAGGACUUUGAAAAGAGAAUUAAAAGAGUCUGCAUUUGCUGAACAGAAAGCAAACAGAAUUGAUCUUACUUGGUGAGAUUGUUGUGCCCACUUUAGCAUUUAUAUGUUGGAUGUGGGUGCGAUGGUUCUUGCCUUGAAUGUCAGCUUCUAUUACUGCAAAUCAUUACCCUUGCACGUGAAUGGUAAUUUGCCUGUGGGUAUUGGAAUGCAUGUGUUUGCAAUGAUUUGUGAUUUGAUAUGUGUGAUUGGUGCUACUUGCGUGUUGCUCCUUUGUCAACGGGGAAGGCUGUCUUCCUUGAGCCCGCAAGCCCAAACACCUUACUGCUGGCAAAAUGUUUCUGCUUGACCCGUCUUGAAACACGGUCCAAGG
rnacentral:rRNA from 1 species